rnacentral:rRNA from 1 species
UACGGGGGGAGCAAGCGUUGUUCGGAUUUACUGGGCGUAAAGGGCGCGUAGGCGGCCACCGCAAGUCGACUGUGAAAUCUCCGGGCUUAACCCGGAAAGGUCAGCCGAUACUGCGGGGCUAGAGUGCAGAAGGGGCAACUGGAAUUCUCGGUGUAGCGGUGAAAUGCGUAGAUAUCGGCAGGAACACCUGUGGCGAAGGCGGCCACCUAGCCCGCUGCUGACGCUGAAGCGCGACAGCGUGGGGAGCGAACUGG